rnacentral:sRNA from 1 species
GGACGUCAUCGACGAAUUCACACCUGCCGCCACCAUCCGUGCCGGGGUGCCCCGCAAGGGGUUCGUCACGGAGGCGGCAGGGAAGCCCAAC